rnacentral:tRNA from 1 species
GGGCCGAUAGCUCAACUGGCAGAGCAACAGACUUUUAAUCUGUAGGUUCCGGGAUCGUGGCCCGGUCGGCUCA